CCAAUAGCGUAUAUUAAAGUUGUUGCAGUUAAAAAGCUCGUAGUUGAAUUUCGGGAUCAAUAUGUUGGUCGUGCCUUGGUACGUACUAUCUUAUUGGUUUCUCCCUUCUGACGAACCAUGAUGUCAUUAAUUUGGUGUCUUGGGGAAUCAGGACUGUUACUUUGAAAAAAUUAGAGUGUUUAAAGCAGGCUCACGCUUGAAUAUAUUAGCAUGGAAUAAUGAAAUAGGACGUUUGAUUCUAUUUUGUUGGUUUCUAGGAUCGACGUAAUGAUUAAUAGGGAUAGUUGGGGGCAUUAGUAUUCAAUUGUCAGAGGUGAAAUUCUUGGAUUUAUUGAAGACUAACUACUGCGAAAGCAUUUGCCAAGGAUGUUUUCAUUAAUCAAGAACGAAAGUUAGGGGAUCGAAGACGAUCAGAUACCGUCGUAGUCUUAACCAUAAACUAUGCCGACUAGGGAUCGGAUGAUGUUAAUUUUUUAAUGACUCAUUCGGCGCCUUACG
rnacentral:rRNA from 1 species